rnacentral:rRNA from 1 species
GAUGAACGCUGGCGGCGUGCUUAACACAUGCAAGUCGAACGGAAAGGCCCAAGCUUGCUUGGGUACUCGAGUGGCGAACGGGUGAGUAACACGUGGGUGAUCUGCCCUGCACUUCGGGAUAAGCCUGGGAAACUGGGUCUAAUACCGGAUAGGACCACAUUUUGGAUGGUGUGGUGGAAAGUUUUUCGGUGUGGGAUGAGCUCGCGGCCUAUCAGCUUGUUGGUGGGGUAAUGGCCUACCAAGGCGUCGACGGGUAGCCGGCCUGAGAGGGUGUACGGCCACAUUGGGACUGAGAGACGGGCCAGACUCCGACGGGAGGCAGCAGUGGGGAAUAUUGCACAAUGGGCGCAAGCCUGAGGCAGCGACGCCGCGUGGGGGAUGAAGGCUUUCGGGUUGUAAACUCCUUUCGCUAGGGACGAAGCGUUUUUGUGACGGUACCUGGAGAAGAAGCACCGGCUAACUACGUG